rnacentral:rRNA from 1 species
UACGAAGGGGGCUAGCGUUGUUCGGAAUUACUGGGCGUAAAGCGCACGUAGGCGGAUCAUUUAGUCAGGGGUGAAAUCCCGGGGCUCAACCUCGGAACUGCCUUUGAUACUGAUGGUCUCGAGUCCGAUAGAGGUGAGUGGAAUUCCUAGUGUAGAGGUGAAAUUCGUAGAUAUUAGGAAGAACACCAGUGGCGAAGGCGGCUCACUGGAUCGGUACUGACGCUGAGGUGCGAAAGCGUGGGGAGCGAACAGG